CCCGUCCGGUUUUCUCCCCCCCUCCCAAGCUCGCAGAUGCAACGCCCGCACGCCCGCACCACCAAAACCGCCCAAGCUCGGACGCCUGCCGCCGCCGCUCCUUCCUUCUUCCCCAGACUCACCCCCAAUCCCGGCGUCCAGCUCGGAUUCGCGCCCCCAAUCCCGGCACCCAGUCGCCGCUCCCUCCUCCAGACGCGACCCCAAUCCCGAUGCCCAGCUCGGAUCCUGAGGGCGCCGCAUCAACCUGCCAUCGGCGCUCCUUCACCCCCAGACGCGUCCCCAACUCCGGCGCCGUACAAUCCCCAUCUCCGGCGCUCCCGGCGAUGUGCUGCGCGAACGGCUCCCGUCCGCCCCCCUCCAGCGGUGUGCUGCAGCAUCAGUCCCGGCGAAGUGCUGCGCGGCCGGCUCCCGUCCGCCCCCCUCCCCCGGCGAGCUGCAGCACCAGCAUCAGGUCGUCAACUUUGGCCGCCGUUCGGAGAGGUGCAUCCGAUUGUUGGGAGGAAGCAGCAGCAGGAGCCGGAACCAUGCCCAGCCGCCUGGACCGCGGUGGUGAAGCUCGGCGAUGCAAGGAUCCUACGCGUCUGUCCGUUGCAGCAGCCUCCAAUUUCCUCUUCAGUUGCCCUUCCAAUCCCGCUCACCUGGAUUGAAAUCGGAUUUGGGGGCGUUCUUCCUCGGUGGCGGCAGUAGCCCGAAUUGGACAGCACCGCCAGCGGCAUGCUAUCGAAUUCGUCGGUGUCCAUCUGCCGCAGGGCAAGUGAGGCCGCCUGCACCUGCCGCAGCAGGGUUCAGUAGCACAUUUGGGCACGAGACGAGGAGGCUGUCACAAGAUGUCGUCUUGCCAAGUACACUGGAGUUGCAGCUAGUGCCGUAGUCGAAGACGGCGGCUGCGAACUACGCUGCUUCACGGUGAGGAUACUGUGCUAUUAUCUCUUCUCUCGUCAUCUGUAUCAGGUGGCGCAGGGUUACAUCAGUGUUGGUUGCACGUCAGGUGCUUCAGCAAAUGCCUAUACGCUAUGAACUUUGUGGUAUGUUGCAUUUUUUAAGUUAUUGUUUUCCCUAUCAUGUACUUUGAUUAUAACUUGCAUGCAUCGAUUCCAUUUAUGUACUUGUAACUUUGUAAUCUACUUAGUCUUCACAAUUUAUCAAUAUAUAUACUUGUAGUUUUAUAGUAUCCUUGUUCUUCACAAUUUAUUAUUAAUUUCAAGCACACUUUUUCUGGAAUGCUUUGUAGUUACUAAUAGCACUUAUUCUCUUGCGCAAUGCAUACUUCUGAAUUUACGUUUAAAAUAGGUGCAUCAUGCUGUUUGAUUACACAUUAACUCAGGUGCUAGACGUCACUGCAUAGCAGUUUCAGCAUCAGAUGACUGGUUGGCCGACCAUUGCGGCAUCUUGUCUUCUUGAUCGUGCAGUUUUAAGCAGAACAUGGAUGAAUUCAAGGAGUUGAUGCACACCGGCACCAUGGAGACGGUGAGCUACUGCAAGAGUGGAUGUUGUAGCCUAACGAACAUGGCAGGCAGGUUAGUGUGUUGACUGUUGAAGAUCGUCAUUUCUUACACGUUGUGUAUGUGUGCCUUUGGUGGAUGAAUCAUCACUGAUGCAUGCUCCGUGUUUGGGUGAAUAUACCCAUGUUGAGUUGACAGUUGCAGAUUGGUCAUCUGAUACUUGUUCAUUUUUCUUGCCACUAAUCAUUAUAUGCAUUUAAGAAUUAUGUCGUAACCACAACGGAGAUUGUUGCUUUUCAACAAGUGUCCGCAGCACGCAAAUUUACUGACAGGGUGUACUGGUUAGGGUGCAUUUCAGUCAGGGUCCCGUAAAUCAGAUUUUACUGACGAUGAACUCCAGAGCCAGUGAAACACUCGAAGAUGCAUUCAGAAGCACUUACGCCUGCAAGACUCGACUACGAAGAGUUCGGGGACUUGUCAGACCGGGGCAGCGGAACUGCUCACAGGCGUAUAAUAUUCUAGAGUAAGGGAUAGUGCAUGGAUGGACUUUACCUCUAUUGUAACUACUCAGAUAGUAGUAGAACUAGUUGAUGUACAAGGAAACUACCCGACUCCGUUGGAGUAGGACUCUAGUAGUACUCGGCUAGGACUUUCCAUGUAAUCAUGUCCCCCGGACUAUAUAAGGGCGGAUAGAGACCCUUCCAAAAUAUCGACAACCCCUAAGUCAAUACAAACAACUACACAGGACGUAGGGUAUUACGAUCCGGUGGUCUGAAUCUGUCUAAA